UUAAGAAAACAUUUAACUGCAAAACAUCAACAUAUAUUGAAAAAAAUAGAUGAGACAAAAGUUAAUUUGAAACGUCCAAAUAAAGAUGAAAAUGCCAAUAUUCCAAAUAAGUGUCAUGUAUUGGAAAGGUGGGGCUCUGGGAGCUCAAAGAUUACUCAAAAUAUAUUUGAUAAAGCUAUAUUACAGUUUAUUAUCGAAGACAUUCAACCCCUUUCCACUAUUGAUAGUCCAGCAUUCAUUAAUUUGCUAAGAAUUGGAGUUCCUUCACAUAUUCGUAUAAUGUGCAGAAAAACAUUAAAAGAAAAACUUUGUCAAACAUAUCUUAAAAUGAAGAGUACCCUAGAAAAAAAAUUAACAGAAAUAGAAAUAGUUGCAACAACGGCAGAUUUAUGGAGCAAGGCGAAAAAAAGUUACUUAGGAAUAACAAUCCAUUGGAUUAAUCCUGAUACUCUCUCUCGACAAUCAGCUGCAUUAGCUUGUCGAAGGCUGAAAGGACGACAUACAUAUGACAUAUUAGCUGAUGCAAUUUAUUCGAUUUUUUUGGAGUAUCAUAUUCAAAACAAAAUAUGUUGCACGACAACGGACAACGGAUCAAAUUUUGUCAAAGCCUUUCAGUAAGC
rnacentral:lncRNA from 13 species